rnacentral:rRNA from 1 species
GCUCAGUAACACGUAGUCAAUCUAACCUAUGGACGGGGAUAAUCUCGGGAAACUGAGAAUAAUACCCGACAGAUCAUUAUGCCUGGAAUGGUUUAUGGUCCAAAUGAAUUUCGCCAUAGGGUGGGACUGCGGUCUAUCAGCUUGUUGGUGAGGUAAUGGCCCACCAAGGCUAUAACAGAUACGGGCUCUGAGAGGAGAGGCCCGGAGAUGGGUACUGAGACACGGACCCAGGCCCUAUGGGGCGCAGCAGGCGAGAAAACUUUGCAAUGUGCGAAAGCACGACAAGGUUAAUCCGAGUGGUUCCUGCUAAAGGAAUCUUUUGUCAGUCAUAACACCACUGAAGAAUAAGGGGUGGGCAAGUUCUGGUGUCAGCCGCCGCGGUAAAACCAGCACCUCAGGUGGUCAGGAGGAUUAUUGGGCCUAAAGCAUCCGUAGCCGGCUUUGUAAGUUUUCGGUUAAAUCUAUGUGCUCAACGUAUAGGCUGCCGAGAAUACUGCAAAGCUAGGGAGUGGGAGAGGUAGACGGUACUCGAUAGGAAGGGGUAAAAUCCUUUGAUCUAUUGAUGACCACCUGUGGCGAAGGCGGUCUACCAGAACACGUUCGACGGUGAGGGAUGAAAGCUGGGGGAGCAAACCGGAUUAGAUACCCGGGUAGUCCCAGCUGUAAACGAUGCAGACUCGGUGAUGCAUUGGCUUGUGGCCAGUGCAGUGCCGCAGGGAAGCCGUUAAGUUUGCCGCCUGGGAAGUACGUACGCAAGUAUGAAACUUAAAGGAAUUGGCGGGGGAGCACCACAAGGGGUGAAGCCUGCGGUUCAAUUGGAGUCAACGCCAGAAAUCUUACCCGGGGAGACAGCAGAAUGAAGGUCAAGCUGAAGACUUUACCAGACAAGCUGAGAGGUGGUGCAUGGCCGUCGCCAGCUCGUGCCGUGAGAUGUCCUGUUAAGUCAGGUAACGAGCGAGACCCUUGCCUCUAGUUGCCACCAUUACUCUCUGGAGUAGUGGGGCGAAUUAGCGGGACCGCCGCAGUUAAUGCGGAGGAAGGAGAGGGCCACGGCAGGUCAGUAUGCCCCGAAACCCUGGGGCUACACGCGGGCUGCAAUGAUAGGUACAAUGGGUUCCGACAUUGAAAAAUGGAGGCAAUCCCCAAAACCUAUCCCAGUUAUGACUGAGGGCUGAAACUCGCCCUCACGAAUAUGGAAUCCCUAGUAACCGCGUGUCA